GAUGGGAUUUUCUCAAGUACUUACCCUAAGAAGAAUCUGGUCAAGCUCCUGGAGGCAAAACUCAGAAAAAUACGACAGCCUCCCACGACUAGGUCCUUCUGGAAUUUUUAACUCUCAGACUUGCUCACACAGAGCCUCUAGCAAUUUGUUAAUUACAGUUCAGAUUUUUUUUUCAACUCAGGCUAUGGUUCCUGCAGUGAUUUCCACUUGUAAGUUUCCUGUCAGUCCUUCUUCUAGCUCAUUGUAGAUGCUAUGAUGAAUUCAGAGGAUGGUGAACAAGAUUCUAUAUGCAUCCUUUUCACUCUUCUGAUGACACAUCACUUGAAUAGCUUCAUGGGAAGCUCUCUUAGGAAACAAGGCCUUGAAAUUUCCCUCACAUACUAGCCCCAGUGGACCCUGUCUCUAUUCCAUAGAAAUGUUGCCCAGAAAUGAGCUCAUAGACCUUCUCAUCAUGGCCAGAGGCAAGCAGUACUGUCUGGGACACCAGGAGCAGAGGUCAGAGGCAAGCUCAACUUUCCUGAAAUAAUGUGCUGAUAUUUCCACUGCGAAAGAUCGGUCAUAGAUGGUGCCUAAAACUGACUCAGCUCUGGCCAGGGCAUAAGAGAGAAUGGGUUCUUGAAACUCCUUAAUCUCAUCGUCCAGAAUGGCCAAGGAAGUCAGUCAUUGUGGACUUCCCCUCUUGUGUCUCGGCCUCCUGUUCCUCACUGACUCUCUGGGUUCUACCCAGACUUCUGGGCCUCAUGCUCCACCAAUACUUAAAAUAAAAUGGUAGGCAGAAUGUCAUUGCACUUGACCUGGUCAUUUUCUUUUCAGGAAAACUCCCAUUCACAGUUUUACUCCCACAAGUUCAGAGGGAUCUACCCAACACUUGGCUGUAGCUGCUGGAUAUGUGACUGAGACAAUAGAGAUCAAGCGAAAUCACUUAGUAAAGGAGAUGUUAUUUGGUCUGAGUCCUGUGCCAGCCCUUACUGCUUUUGUACAUUGCCUGUGUUGUGCGUGGAUACCAAAGGGUUAUUUGAA